UUUAUUGAGAGUUUGAUCCUGGCUCAGGAUGAACGCUGGCGGCGUGCCUUAUACAUGCAAGUCAUACGGGUGUAGCAAUACACCAGUGGCGAACGGCUGAGUAACACGUGGGAACUUCCUUUAAGUUCGGAAUAACUCUCCGAAAGGAGAGCUAAUACCGGAUGUGUUCGCAAGAACAAAGUCCGCAAGGAUGCUUAAAGCAAGGCCUGCGCACCAUCAGGUAGUUGGCGAGGUAAAAGCUCACCAAGCCUAUGACGGUUAGAGGGCCCGAGAGGGUGUACCUCCAGAUGGGGACUGCGACACGGCCCCGACUCCUACGGGAGGCAGCAGUAGGGAAUAUUGGACAAUGGGCGAAAGCCUGAUCCAGCGACGCCGCGUGCGGGAUGAAGGCCUUAGGGUUGUAAACCGCUUUUGUUGGGGAACAAUUUUUGAGCGUACCCGACGAAUAAGAGGUUGCUAACUCUGUGCCAGCAGCAGCGGUAAUACAGAGACCUCAAGCGUUAUCCGGAUUUAUUGGGCGUAAAGCGUGCCGAUCGGCUGUUUAGAAAGUCUUCUGUUAAAGCCUGCGGCUCAACCGUAGAAUCGCAGAAGAAACUUCUAGACUAGAGGGGCAAAGAGGUGCUUGGAACAAAUGGAGUAGCAGUGAAAUGCGUUGAUAUCAUUUGGAACACCAAAUGCGAAGGCAGAGCACUGGGUGCCACCUGACGCUGCUAGGACGAAAGCGUGGGUAGCGAAUGGGAUUAGAUACCCCAGUAGUCCACGCCGUAAACGAUGAUAACUAGACACGAGAGAGUAUCGACCCUUUUUCGUGUCGAAGCUAACGCGUUAAGUUAUCCGCCUGGGGAGUACGGCCGCAAGGCUAAAACUCAAAGGAAUUGACGGGGACCCGCACAAGCG
rnacentral:rRNA from 1 species